rnacentral:rRNA from 1 species
CCUACGGGUGGCAGCAGUGGGGAAUAUUGGACAAUGGGCGAAAGCCUGAUCCAGCCAUGCCGCGUGUGUGAAGAAGGCCUUCGGGUUGUAAAGCACUUUCAGUGGGGAAGAAAGCCUUGGGGCUAAUACCCUCGAGGAAGGACAUCACCCACAGAAGAAGCACCGGCUAACUCCGUGCCAGCAGCCGCGGUAAUACGGAGGGUGCGAGCGUUAAUCGGAAUUACUGGGCGUAAAGCGCGCGUAGGCGGUCUGAUAAGCCGGUUGUGAAAGCCCCGGGCUCAACCUGGGAACGGCAUCCGGAACUGUCAGGCUAGAGUGCAGGAGAGGAAGGUAGAAUUCCCGGUGUAGCAGUGAAAUGCGUAGAGAUCGGGAGGAAUACCAGUGGCGAAGGCGGCCUUCUGGACUGACACUGACGCUGAGGUGCGAAAGCGUGGGUAGCAAACAGGAUUACAUACCCCGGUAGUC